CUGAGACCUCUUUCAACAAAUUCAAGUGAGAACCUGGAGAGUUUGGGAAGAGAGAAGACUUUGGAACUCCCGGGUUUGCAUUCUCCCAGGACUUUCUGGCCCAGAAAGAGGGUGACUUGGGAGGAGUUACCACAACCACACAGAGAGUGACAGAGGGAGACAGUAGAGGGAGCUUAAGCCAAAAGGUUGAGACAAGAGGUAGCAGUUACAGAAAAGUUGAGGGUGGGAAAGGAGCAACAGACCUUUUUGGGUGGGUAAGAGAGAAAACAAUGGCUCAGGUAAGGGGGCUAAUGUCUCAGUGGAGUCAAAUGUUCACUUCCUUCCUGAAGCCUGGACUGCCUGAUGUGGGUUAGUCUGCUGACUGUGGCGUCUUUCUUCCCCACAUGCUCUGUCUUCUCUACACUUUCCCCAGAGGAGGAGAUCCUGACCCAGUUCCAGAUCGCUCAAUCUGGAGAACAAGUCUCUAUGUUAUAAGAUGCCAUCUAGAAAGGCCCACCUGUCCUAGCACUGAGGGAGACCAGCAGACAGGGAGGCACAGAAGUCUUCAAUCUGGACAGGUGCCUGCCAGUACCCCUGAGUGAGCUCGGAUCCUGAGUGAAGCAGGUCCUGCCUCAGAUCAUGAGCUUCUAGAGGGCAGGGACUUUGUUGAUUUUUUCCAGCACUGGCACUGCUUGAAUGCCCAGGGCACAGUUGCUGAAUGAAUAGAUAAGAAGAUCCAACCCACUACUGACCCACUUAAUUAUUAGAGCCAAAUUCUCUUCCAUCCUUUUAAAUGGACUAGGUUGACUGUUGCUGAGCUAACAUCUGUGCCAAUCUUCCUCUGCUUUAUAUGGGAUGCCGCUACAGCAUGGCUUCACGAGUGGUGCUAAGCCAGCGCCCAGGAUCUGAACCUGCAAAUUUCAGGAUGUCAAAGAAGAUGCAACUCUCCCAGCAGAAAGGACAAAGAAGACUCAACGGAACCAGGAGACUCUAAGAUGGCCUUUAUUGUUUCACAGAGAGCGAACGCCAGACUGUUCUCCAGUAGCUUGCAUAGAGGAACAGCUCUGUGGACUGUCUGUUUAACGUGAGCCAAGAACUUUGUGGUUGAUGCCCUGGACGCUGAUCAGGGUUGUGGUGAAGACACAAUGAAUAUGCAUGGAAGACACAUAAUAUGCAUGGAAGUGCUUUAUACAUUGCCAGAUCCUAUGCAGUCCUGGUGACGUUGAGAACAGCAGAUGAUUGGAAAGAAUAUAAAGAAGUAAAGAACAUAGAUGGAAAAAGGUCUGUUUUGUGAACUUUUCAUCACACCUGAAGCAAGCAUAAGUAGGCAUAAAGCAAGACACCCCAGAGUUUUGCAAGUCUAAUUAAUUUCCUGUUUAUAAAGUGAGUAUACAAAGUUAUGCUAGGGGAAGAGGCUGGCUCCUGGCAUGAACAAGACACAAUUGCAUUCCAAUUGAUACUAUUGAUUCAACUGAAGGAAUAAUGUGUCACUUAGAAGGAAAGAGACCAAUGUGCAUAAUAGGAAAACAUAAUAAUCAGAGGCACAAUUUGAAAGUCAUUAAAGGAAACGUAUUAAUGGGAUUCCUUCCAGCACUGUGCACCAAGGACGUAUACAGUGAUUUAGUGAACUUAUACACCUAAAUGUCUAACUAGUUCUCUUUGCUGUGAUUUGGUAUUUACCAUAAAACUUUCAGAUUAUCAUUUGAAUUCCCUUAAGUCAAUAUGAAUGUGCAGUUCUGUGAUAAUUACUGCUUUUUGUAUUAUAAAAUCAAUAAUUAUUUUGCUUUGUGUGUUGGUUUACUGUCUGUUUGUUAUUGUGGAUUCGCUUUAAUGAUGAGACUGAGCCUCUGUUAGAGCAUGGAGAAAAUCAAGCUUUGGUGUGACAAAGGAGGUGGCAGUCCCUGACAUGCUGUGGCACAACUCAGAGAAUCUGGAAAGAGUACCCAUGGGGGGCAGCACUCAGGCUUCCCUCUGGUAGCAUCCUUUCACCUGACCUGGACCUGCAAUCCACAACAACAAGUUAUGGGAGAAAAAAAAUGAUGUCUUGGCAGGAACAACAAGGACAAGAAGUGUCGUGUGACAAGCUCAUGUGAACCCUCCCCUGCUUGGGCACAGGAUCUUGAUAAUAUUGAACAAACAUUGUCUCAGAGAACAGAAAAUAGAAAAUUACUGAAGACUUUAGCAGUCCCUGAUACGCUCCUUUUACUGGAUUAUUGGAAUACACAAACUUCAAAAGCAUCGCUCAAAGAAAUAAUGUUAGAGAAAUUGCCUUACAGGAAAAACACGAUUUGAAAAGAGAUCCACUUAAUAUUUAUAAAAUGCUAUAUGAAGAAAAAGCAGCUUUCUUAGAUAGUCCUAGGCAUCACUCAAAAUUUUCUGGGACCACAACCAUGUCUUAGGCUACACAAUGCAAUUUUCAAACCAUGUUCUUAAGAGAGACCCUGUAAAACCCUUUGUAGCACAAAAAUUUUCCCCAAAAUGCAAGCAUCACUUCCAUUGCAUAGAAGUCUAAAGAGAAAAAAGGAAAGAAAGAAAGACUGAAGAUAAACCAAAUGGGCCAUUUCCCUGAAUAGGAUGGCUACAGGGAAGAGGCAUUUCUGCACCAGCAGAAGAGAAUGGAACACUACAGGAAGACAAAAGAAGCUCAUCAAAUCUGGGGGUGGGGGAGUGUUACCACGUUUUAUGCCCACCAGGGAAGUCUCCAUGAGCGGAAGAAUGAAGCCAGUUGCUUUGCUGCAGCAGAGGUCCUAGAGCAAAUCAGUGCCUUCUUGCUGCCACAGAAUGUUUCAGACCUCCAUGGGCUGCGUGGGGGUGGUGGGACAAAACUAGAGAAGACUGGAUGACAGCGUUACAGCAAAAACUGAAGACUUCGGGCAGAGUGGUAGGAUGUCCUACCUCCCUGUAAUUAAGGGCCAAAUAAAGCAUGGCCAGGAAGUAUUCGCUGGCAUGAAACUCGCCACUGUUAAACACCUCACAACUACCAGCUUCAGGCACUCCAAAAUUACACCAGGCUGCUCGAAAGUUGUACUAAAAUAGAAGAAAUGUCCUAGACUUAGAUGGAUGAAGAAUUUAAUAGAGAAACAAAACCAGAAUACAUCUGCAUCCUCAAGAGCGUUUUAUGACUUUGUGUUACAUGUGGCAAAUUUUAUCAUCAUUCUCCUUAAAACUGAGCAAUUGAUUGUUAUGGUUCAAAUGGUGAACCUGUUUUUAAUAAAUGAUUGAAUUAACUGUGAGACUACUCAUUAAAAUGAAAUGUUGCAGCUAUCAGUGGAGAAUAUAUUAUAAAACUUUCAGCCAGUAUAUGAGAAACAAAAUGUUUUUAUUUGUACUGUAAAGAAAAAGUAAUUUUGCUGUCCACUCUGUGCUUUUUUAUUGAC
rnacentral:lncRNA from 1 species